rnacentral:rRNA from 1 species
GAUGAACGCUGGCGGCGUGCCUAAUACAUGCAAGUCGAGCGAACAGACGAGGAGCUUGCUCCUCUGACGUUAGCGGCGGACGGGUGAGUAACACGUGGAUAACCUACCUAUAAGACUGGGAUAACUUCGGGAAACCGGAGCUAAUACCGGAUAAUAUAUUGAACCGCAUGGUUCAAUAGUGAAAGACGGUUUUGCUGUCACUUAUAGAUGGAUCCGCGCCGCAUUAGCUAGUUGGUAAGGUAACGGCUUACCAAGGCGACGAUGCGUAGCCGACCUGAGAGGGUGAUAGGCCGCACUGGAACUGAGACACGGUCCAGACUCCUACGGGAGGCAGCAGUAGGGAAUCGUCCGCAAUGGGCGAAAGCCUGACGGAGCGACGCCGCGUGAGUGAUGAAGGUCUUCGGAUCGUAAAACUCUGUUAUUAGGGAAGAAAAAAUGUGGAAGUAACUAUGCACGUCUUGACGGUACCUAAUCAGGAAGCCACGGCUAACUACGUG